UACGGAGGGGGCUAGCGUUGUUCGGAAUCACUGGGCGUAAAGCGCACGUAGGCGGAUGUGCCAGUCAGGGGUGAAAUCCCGGAGCUCAACUUCGGAACUGCCUCUGAUACAGCACGUCUUGAGUCCGGAAGAGGUGGGUGGAAUUCCUAGUGUAGAGGUGAAAUUCGUAGAUAUUAGGAAGAACACCGGUGGCGAAGGCGGCCCACUGGUCCGGUACUGACGCUGAGGUGCGAAAGCGUGGGGAGCAAACAGG
rnacentral:rRNA from 1 species